AGUGAACGCUGGCGGUAGGCCUAACACAUGCAAGUCGAACGGCAGCACAGUACGGUCUUGCUCUUCCGGGGGGGGGAGGGGGGACGGGACAGGAAAAUACCGUACCCUACUUUUUGGGAGGGGUUCAGGAAGCGAAGCUUAAUCUAGUACCGCAUCCGCUGUAGGGUGGAAGGCAUGGGAUCUUUGCCCCUUGUGCGUUUGAAUUAGCGGCUGUGGAGUUAGCUAGUUGGGGGGUUAAUGGCCCACCAGGGCGACGAUCCGUAGCUGGUCUGAGAGGAUGAUCGGCCACACUGGAACUGAGACACGGUCCAGACUCCUACGGGAGGCAGCAGAGGGGAAUAUUAGACAGUGGGCGGAAGCCUGAUCCAGCCAUACCGCGUGGGUGAAGAAGGCCUUGGGGUUGUAAAGCCCUUUUGUUGGGAAAGAAAAGCAGCAGGUUAAUACGCCGCUGGUCUGACGGUACCCAAAGAAUAAGCACCGGCUAACUUCGUG
rnacentral:rRNA from 1 species